rnacentral:rRNA from 1 species
GCACGGGGAGCUUGCUCCCUGGUGGCGAGCGGCGGACGGGUGAGUAACGCAUAGGAAUCUGCCCGGUAGUGGGGGAUAACCUGGGGAAACCCAGGCUAAUACCGCAUACGUCCUACGGGAGAAAGCGGGGGCUCUUCGGACCUCGCGCUAUCGGAUGAGCCUAUGUCGGAUUAGCUUGUUGGUGAGGUAACGGCUCACCAAGGCAACGAUCCGUAGCUGGUCUGAGAGGAUGAUCAGCCACACCGGGACUGAGACACGGCCCGGACUCCUACGGGAGGCAGCAGUGGGGAAUAUUGGACAAUGGGCGAAAGCCUGAUCCAGCCAUGCCGCGUGUGUGAAGAAGGCUUUCGGGUUGUAAAGCACUUUCAGCGAGGAAGAAAGCCUGUCGGCCAAUACCCGACAGGGACGACAUCACUCGCAGAAGAAGCACCGGCUAACUCCGUGCCAGCAGCCGCGGUAAUACGGAGGGUGCGAGCGUUAAUCGGAAUUACUGGGCGUAAAGCGCGCGUAGGUGGCUUGGCACGCCAGGUGUGAAAGCCCCGGGCUCAACCUGGGAAUGGCAUCUGGAACGGCCAGGCUAGAGUGCAGGAGAGGAAGGUGGAAUUCCCGGUGUAGCGGUGAAAUGCGUAGAGAUCGGGAGGAAUACCAGUGGCGAAGGCGGCCUUCUGGCCUGACACUGACACUGAGGUGCGAAAGCGUGGGUAGCAAACAGGAUUAGAUACCCUGGUAGUCCACGCCGUAAACGAUGUCGACUAGCCGUUGGGACCUUUAAGGACUUAGUUGGCGCAGUUAACGCGAUAAGUCGACCGCCUGGGGGAGUACGGCCGCAAGGUUAAAACUCAAAUGAAUUGACGGGGGCCCGCACAAGCGGUGGAGCAUGUGGUUUAAUUCGAUGCAACGCGAAGAACCUUACCUACCCUUGACAUCCUGCGAACCCGAGAGAGAUCUCGGGGUGUCUUCGGAAACGCAGUGACAGGUGCUGCAUGGCUGUCGUCAGCUCGUGUUGUGAAAUGUUGGGUUAAGUCCCGUAACGAGCGCAACCCUUGUCCUUAUUUGCCAGCGAUUCGGUCGGGAACUCUAAGGAGACUGCCGGUGACAAACCGGAGGAAGGUGGGGACGACGUCAAGUCAUCAUGGCCCUUACGGGUAGGGCUACACACGUGCUACAAUGGCCGGUACAAAGGGUUGCAAUACCGCGAGGUGGAGCGAAUCCCAGAAAGCCGGCCUCAGUCCGGAUCGGAGUCUGCAACUCGACUCCGUGAAGUCGGAAUCGCUAGUAAUCGUGCAUCAGAAUGGCACGGUGAAUACGUUCCCGGGCCUUGUACACACCGCCCGUCACACCAUGGGAGUGGACUGCACCAGAA